GUAGUUGUGGCUGAGUGGUUAAGGUGAGAGAUUAGAAAUCUAUUGGGGUUGCCCUGCGCAGGUUCAAAUUCUGCCAACUACA